GUUUCAUUAGGGCAGGCGUUUUUCAUGUUCUCACAACUUUAUUCAUGCUCAUUUAAUUGUUUCAUUAGGGCAUGAUCAGAGAGCUGCAGCAGGAGCUUGCUGAUGCUCUCAAAAAGCAAUCUAUGUCAGAAGCUUCACUGGAAGUUACUACACGCUACCGCAGUGACCUGGAGGAAGACAAGCUGCGCUUGCAAAAGUUGUGGGAGGUGGAAGAAAAAUAUCUUCAGUCUGAGUGUUGUGUUCGUGAUUUGAAGACUGCCUUGGAUGAUAAGGAAAGAGGAGCAACAGCUUCUGCCCAGAAGCUGCAGGACCAGCUGUUGGCAUCUUCUGAGACUAACACUACUAUAAAACAACUGGAAGAACACUGCAACACCUUGAAAUUGAAAACACCAAAUUGGAAGCCACUGUCCAGCAACAAAGCAACAGGACUGAAGCCCUGCAGAAAGACCUGCAAGUCUCUGCCUCAGUUCAUAAGUGCCUGGAAGACUUGAUAAUGAACUUAGAGACAGCACAGGCAGCUGCAGAAGACCACCACAAGCAGGUACAUGACAGGCUUCUGUGAAUGACUCUUUUAAUCUUUGAAUUUUUUGUGUGUAGGUAAUUGAUGGUAUUUUAUUGUUUUGCACUCUUCUUUUGGAAUUUNUUGUCAGUGAGGUGUCACUUCAGUCUAGAAAAUCAUAGUGUGCCUUCUUUCUUCUUGUUAUGCUUCUAUAGGAAGACUUGAUAAUGAACUUAGAGACAGCACAGGCAGAUGCAGAAGACCACCACAAGCAGGUACAUGACAGGCUUCUGUGAAUGACUGUUUUAGACUUUGAAUUUUUUGUGUGUAGGUAAUUGAUGAAAAGAUCAUAUGGUCUGUAUAAGCACACAGCUGUUAAAUGCCCA
rnacentral:lncRNA from 12 species